CAAAUGGUACACAAAUUCGUGUAACGUGUCAAAAUACUGGUUUCGACUAUUCGGACUAUUACAGUAAUGACGUAUCCACAGCUUACAUUGAUUGCUUAGAUGGCGUAUUCAAAAAGCAUGAGUUGAAAUGCUAAUUAGAUACAAAGCUACCUCCUGAAUCGUCACCUAUCCCUAAAAAUUGUACAACGAUCGAAAAUGGACAAAAAACAGAUCGUGGUAAAUCGUUCACAUGCAAUCCAGACUACAAGCCUUCGUUCAAGAACGGAAUGGAUGCUAUUUUGUAUGCGAGAUACUCGUGCAAGUGUAGUCAAACAACCGGUAGAUUACAGUGCAUGGGGACCGAGGUAGAAUGCAAGCCAAUUGGCUGCAUGAUACCGGCAAAUGUUGCAACAAGGUAUGACUCUCGAUGACCCGAAAGAACGACG